CGUAUAGGAAUUAGGUCCCUACAUACUACUUUUGUUCGAAGUCCCUUUGAUUGGGGCCAGAUGUCUUAGAGGGUGCUAGUCCCGUUCGAACAGGUCAUGUGUAGGUGUCUAGUUCUUUGGAGUCGGGUUGCUUGAAAGUGCAGCCUCAAGUGGGUGAUAAACUUCAUCUAAGGCUAAAUAUUAAGGCGAAUUCGAUAGCAAACAAGUACCGUGAGGGAAAGUUGCAAAGAACUUUGAAGAGAGAGUUCAACAGAACGUGAAAUCGUUGGAGUGGAAUCGGAGAGAGGAAACGAAGCUUGGUAACUAAGUGUGUUGGUAUUCGUUAAUUCGGAAAUCAGCGCAUGGGCGUUGCUGAUGGCUGCAUUGGUAGUGCUGUUGAUUUCAUCAGACCUGGAUAGUGUUGCCCACUUUAUGUGGGUACUUGCUUCCGGCUAUGUUGAUGAUUGAUGGCAUUUAACUCUGCUUGUAGAGUACCAGUGUGAAAGUUUCUCACCUUUCUGACCCGUCUUGAAACACGGACCGAGGAGUGUAACUUGUGCGCGAGUCAGUGAGUGGUAAACUUACGGGCGAAAUGAAAAUAAAUAGUGGUUAGCCGCUUGACAUGAGAUCUGUUCUUUGGAGCAGCGCAUCAUGGCCCUGUCUCGAUUGCUUGCAAUUGGGCAGCGGAAGAGCGUACAGGUUGCGACCCGAAAGAUGGUGAACUAUACUUGAGCAGGACGAAGCCAGAGGAAACUCUGGUGGAAGUCCGUAUCAAUUCUGACGUGCAAAUCGAUUGAUAGACUUGAGUAUAGGGGCGAAAGACUAAUCGAACCAUCUAGUAGCUGGUUCCCUCCGAAGUUU
rnacentral:rRNA from 1 species